UGUAGGAUGUAUCGCUAGCCAGAAAUAUUACAAGCAGGACCAGGCCUCCAGCUUAUCGAGAUUUGGGAAAAAGUAACAAGAAAGAGUGGACAGUCUUUGCCUAGUAGCUCUUUACAGCCAAGGUCGUGAUCCCCGGGCCUGUU
ensembl:lncRNA